rnacentral:lncRNA from 1 species
GCAAAAACAUAAACAAUUAACAAUAAAAAUCGCUAAGAGAGAGAAAACAACAAUGGAUGAGAAGAGAGAGAAAGACUCCUUUUUUUGCCUUUGUUUCCCGUUAUUUUAGGUAUACAUUGGGAUUAAAGUGUAAAUUUAAAAACUUGUGGGCUAUUUUAAAAUUUUCCCAACUUUCUUAAUACAUAAUAAAAUAAUUGUCACCUCCAACUAAUAA